GACGAACGCUGGCGGCGUGCUUAACACAUGCAAGUCGAACGGAAAGGCCUGCUUUCCCUUGUGGUUUGCGGGUACUCGAGUGGCGAACGGGUGAGUAACACGUGAGUGAUCUGCCCCCAACUUGGGUAUAAGCCUGGGAUACUGGGUCUAAUUUCCGAUAGGACUGCAGGGUGGUUCCUGUGGUGGAAAACGCUUUUCUAGUGGUUGGGGAUGGGCUCGCGGCCUAUCAGCUUGUUGGUGGGGUAAUGGCCUUCCAAGGCGGCGACGGGUAGCCGGCCUGAGAGGAGGGACGGCCACAUUGGGACUGAGAUACGGCCCAGACGCCUACGGGAGGCAGCGGUGGGGAAGAGUGCACAAUGGGCGGAAGCCUGAUGCAGCGACGCCGCGUGGGGGAUGACGGCCUUCGGGUUGUAAACUCCUUUCGACCGCGAGGAAGCCACCUGGUUGGAAGGGUGGUGACGGUAGUGGUAGAAGAAGCACCGGCUAACUACGUG
rnacentral:rRNA from 1 species